CCCUUGAUCCCGACCUUAGGGCAUCGCCCUCAGUUUCUUUAUUUAGUGUUCUGAUGCUCCACAGAUCGAGUUUUUUGGCCGAGGCGGUGUUCUUUGGUAGCUGAUUUGCAUAAGCCCCGAUCGCCAUCUUGGGAAGUCCUUACCCCCGGCCGUCGCUUCGGGAAGUCUCUGGUCGCCAUAUUGUCGUGCCGGGAGGCCUCCGACUGCAAUCGCCGUGCCGGGAGGUCUCGAAUCCCGGCCGCCGUGCCGGGCCGCCACGCUGGGACGCCGUGCCGGGCCGCCGCGCCGGGCCGCCGCUCUGGGCCGCCGCAUCGGUCUGCAGUAUUGGGCGGUUUCUAACAGGAGCAACAAGGAACUGUUUGGCACGGAACUCGGAACAGGAACGUUUUGGAGCCUGGAACAGAGGCUGCAAAAGAACACUUGCAAAACCUUGGCCAGCCCUGGUCACCGGGGUGUCCCCGACCCAGGGCACGGCUGGACAGGAGCAACAUGGAAUAGUUCAGCAUGAGCCCAGAACUGGAACACUGCAGAGUAUACUGCCGCGGCGACGGAAAGGCCGGAGCGCCGCGACUUCUCUAGAGAAGCAGUCUUGAAAAGGGCUGGGCCGAAGCGCGUGUGAGCGGCUUCGGGCAGGCCAGUGAUCUCAGCUCAGCGGCGGCGGGCAGGUGACACGGGAAGCAGGGACGAGAAAGCUGGUCCAGCGUUCCGCUAAGCACAAACCUUUAUUCAGGCAGAGCUUUGACGAAGGGAGCCAGCAACAGCUAGUCUCCCGAACAGGGGAAAACCCGGGAUAUUUAUGGGGAAGGAGAGGGGCGGGGGGGGUCGGAGCCCGAGAUACCUGUAUCGGGUUGGGACAGCAGGGGGGAACACCAAUGGGGCACAACAGUUUAACAUAACUAACUCAAAGAUCCCUGGGAGCGAUACAUUGUCUCUCUCUGCGUGAAGGUGUCAUGCCUCCAGGGGAGACCCAGGAUCGCGGAGCCAGCGGGUUCCCAGGCACCCACAGUAUACAAGAAAAUGCCAGAAGUUCACUGAUGCAGAGUGGAGUAUCUUCCCUGUCACCACUAAUGAAUGAUCAUUUUCAGCCCUAAAAGUCUUGGCUUGUAAAGUGAUUUAUCCUGAUGACGGGGAAAAUUCAGCAGCACGGGUCUACCCUCAUUAUCUGGCAGCAGAACAAGCAGUGGCUACAUAACUCUCAUCUGAUGAAGAUGGAUUCAAAUCUCCAAGCUAUUUUUCAAUUCCUUUGGUUGCUUUUUUGAUGGAAUGUGAAAGAGAAGUACAGCAGAAAAAUGGUGGAGCCAGCAGGUAUCAUGUACCUUAAUGCAAAAUUAAUGCGUAUUAAUUUUUGAGAUAUAAAUCUAGAGGUGUAUCUUUUGUACUGGGCAUUUUGCCACCAUUUGGUUUUAAGUGAGUAGAUAACACUUCGAUUGUUUUGAAUUAAUUUCUAAAUGCCCCCUAGGUUAUAUUUAUGGUAUUUAUUUGCUUAGUGAACAGAGGCCAGUUCUAUCAUAAAGGUGAAUUUCUGCUGAUCAGCAACAAAUAGUAUAACAGACACUCCUUCUUUAGUAAAUGUGUAAAAUGACAUAUAGUAAAUAUUAGGGUUGUAUGCAGUUCCUAAUCUCUCCAUUUCAAGCUCUGGAAUGUGAUGAUCCUGGUUUUAGAUAGCAAUAGAAAUACCAAAUAAUAUGAAUAAGAAAGUCAAUUUAAAAUUCCUAGACAUGUGUUUGUCUUCUGAAGCUGAGGAAGUGAAGUUCUCCCACUGACUGACACUUCUUGCUGAUGUUGAGGCAGAUCAGAGCCAGAGGGUUGUUAGAGGAUGUAAAAUCAGGCACUUUAUAGCUGCUAUAUCUCUCCUCCUUUACUCAACACCUCUGAAAGUCCUUGUGCUCUUUUUCAUGUGAGGGAGAAAAUGAGAGGUGCAAGCCCUAGAGAUGUACAAAACAAUUAUACCUUAUCUGUAGGUCUUGGAGAGGUGUCCAAGACCCCAAGGCUAAGUACCUUUGUCUGUUUAUAAAUGAGCAGAUCCAGAGUCAGUGAGAUAUCUGUGGACAUCCACAGCACAAGCAGGCUGUGAGUUUCCAGGAGACCUCCAGAUUUCUGAUCAGCAGAGAGAGGGAGAAAGAUGAUUAAGCCAUAUCCCUAAUUGGGAGAGAUGUUUCCAUUCCCUUUUGUACACUUCCCCACCAACACAUGCAGGAUCCACCUUUCAGAUCCAUCAGUAGCUUUCCCCUGUCACUCUCCUGUCCACACCAACUUCAGCCACACCUCUCCUCUUCUCCCCUCUCUUCCUGGUUAGCUGCAGUCCUCAUAGUCCCCAGGUCUUCUUUUUUCUUGAACCCUAUGCCAAUAAAAGUACACCGGUACCAAUUUUAUUAUUUAAAAUCUACUUCAAGUUUUGCAUAAUUGAAGGUGUCUGGACCUGACAGCAUUUACAACCCUUUCAGACAAUUCUGACAGAGGCAGCCUGUAGCUUACUUUAUCUGGUUUCCACCUAUCACUUCAGUUUAUUCAAAUGCAAUUUAGAUUUGAUAACACAAUGUAGCCCUUUGGACUAUUCAAAUCAUAUGAAAAACAGCCUUACUGAAACCACCUUAAAAUGUCUUAAAAUUUCUUCCUGCGCAUAGUCAGUGUGGGCAUUUUGCACAGAAUGCGUCCAGACAGCUUCAGUCUUUUUUAGUGUCACUGAACUGGUACCCUGUUGGUGCCCUGAAUGUGUAGGGUUAACUUACGCAACAAAUGAGAAAAUUGUGAAUGUCUUAGAUCUGGGCAUCAUUGCUAAAACUCUAGAGAAUGAGAGACAUUGACAAAUGCUUUGUUUCAACCCAGAAAAACUCUAAUUUAGUGACACUAUUUUAUGGCUUUACUCUAUAAGCCAUUAUUAUCCUAGCAAACUUCAAGAGAAUGAAAGAUUAAAACACUUAGAAUCUAUAUCUAAAUUGUAAUUUUGUCAUACACUGAUAGUGUAAAUUAUGGUGCCCUGUAGUACAGGAUCAGAGGCAGGGUGAUUUUGUGCUUGAAAAGAGCAAGAAGCUUCUAGGACCUGUGUCUCAUACAGAAUCUAAGUCCUGUAUUAUCUUCUGGAGGAUUCGGCAGCUGCUAGCUAGCAGAUCAAUCACUUGAUUUGUAUUAGAUUUGACAUCUAUGAAUGCUUUUAGAAGAAGAGUCUGAUGGGCUUAGAUUGGUAUCCUUGAAAGUGAAACAUCACACAUCAGUGUAAGCUUAGGAUAAUUGCACGAGUCAGAAUUUACAGGGAACUAAGAGAACAAUGUUUCAUAUUGGGUAAGUGGGUUUAUUUGUAAAAGAAGAAAAAAAAACAAAGUUAAAUAUUGAAGAGUAGAAAUACCAAUAUCUGAGUUACUAGUUCUUUCAUAUUACAGCAAAAGCCAUCACAGUGUGAUCAGACUCAGCAAUCCAGAUUCCUUGCUCUGGAGAGAUGUUUUGCUAUUAAUUUUUGUUUGUCUGUUUCUGGGGUCUACGUUUGUUUUCUUGCUUCUCUGAAAUGCAAUAAAAGCUUUUUGAAAAGCUGACUGGUGAACUGCACUAGGCAGAUUUCCAAAGCAGAGGCAUCUUCCAAAGCCUAUUGAAAUGAAAAAAAAGGUCCUCAUGUUCAUUUGAUCCAAUGGAAAUACAGAUCUGUUCCUCCUCAAUUUGGAGACCAUCCCCUAAAAUUCACUGACUCAGGCUGACCAGUCCUUUAAGUGCUCAAUCCAAAUAAUCUUAAUUCUCUUCCCACAUAAUCUGAAUAGUGGUCUCCCUUCAUCC